rnacentral:lncRNA from 12 species
UGGUGCUCCUUUGCACAGUUACAGUUCAAAGCUGUAAGAUUGAAACCAAGCCAGACCCGUGGGAGUAAAAAUUAGGAAGUUUGUAACAUGUAAUGAAAGACCAGUAUACCAGAAAGUAGCAACAGUUACGCACGAACACGUAGUUAAAAACAUACUUUCAAAUUAGACUAAUAGCAAGCACUGACAUUGUUUAAAAACCAGCAGCAACAUCACAGCCUUUUACAAAACCGUGCGCCAUACGAAACUUUUCUGUAACUCGAAAAAGAGAAGCGUAAAAAGCAGCGCCACACUGACAGAAUUUUCCUGUACUUCAGGCGAAAAAAAAGCGCAGCUCCUUGCACUUAGCCCGAGCCUUGUACUCCCGAAAGUUUGCACAAAGCGCUGCGCCUCUCCAGGGUACGCAUUCCCCGCUGCUCUGCGUGCACUUCUCGCAUCAAAGCCGCGUUCAAAAGCAUCCCUGCCGCCUUCCAGGCUCGCACCGGGGCACCGAGAACGAGAAACAUCUCAAAGCACGGUCAGAUUUGGGUGCGUUGCUCGGUGAUGAAGAAGAGGGCAGGUGAAGCCUCCAAAGCUGCUUUCUGAAGCAGCUGAGAUGCUCCAUCGUCAGACCCCUCAGCUGGAGGAUAGCAGAGGCUUACAGGAAGACCAGGACUUUCCCUGGGUGAAAUUGCUGCUUCAUUAUAUGGCUCAAGCAAACUUUUGACUUCUCAGAGUCCUUCCCGUGCUGUUGGUUUCAUUCACAUCCACCAAGAUGCUGUAUUUCUCCUCAGUGAAGGAAAAUGGGACAUAACAGCUGGAACGUACAUCGUGUAUCCAGCUGGGGUGCUACUCCAGAGUUACCCCUUUCUGAAAAUUUGUGAUGUGUGUUGGGACAUUGGUGGCAACUGUUUUUCUUGACAGCUCCACUCCUGCACAGAUGCAGCUCCUGUCUUGUGUGGAGCUAUGAACAGAAACUGUCAGGCUGAAGUCAAUUUUUAAUGAAAGGGUGUUACUCUUUUUAUUUUUUUGUCUUGAGACUCCUAUUUAGAAGCAGCCUUCUUAAGUGCGAGGCUGCACAAAAGGAUGCUUACUGUUUUUCAGCUUUAAAAAUCUGCCAAAAGCCUUUUAAAUGACAUGGAUGCAAUGCUUGUGUUCCUCCUUCCUGCCCCAUUUGAGGCUGCAGAUGCACAUACAUCAUCCAAGCUUGAAUAAUGGGGGAUAAUCCCUCCAGUGUAAACAGCAAGAGCUGCCAAUAGCCAGACAGCACCAGCACCCACACAGCUAAAAAUGAGAAAUUCUGUCCAGUUCCAUCUUUACAAGGCACAGCACUGUUAGAGUUUUUUGGUGGUGUGUCAAUUUGAGGUUUAUCCAGCAGGAGAGAAAUAAACCAAGUUUUUAUAUUUGUUCCAAAAAAGGCAGAAAAUACUAAGAAAAGUGUGCAAUAAAUGCAGAUCUAAAUUAAACUUUGUUUACCAUUUAAAAUAUGAGAAUUGAAUUAUGUAUUCUUAGCAUAAAGUUGUCUGCAUUUCUUCAAUGAACAGCCUUAUGCUUGAAAAAUAACAAAUGUACUUUGUUGCAUAUUAAAAUAAGUAAUCACA